CUCAUUUUCUUUCACUUUCCCGCUAUUUUAUCGCUCGUUUUCUUUCGCUGAGAUUUUGCUGCUGCACUUCAGGUUCUUCAGCCGUACAACAAUGGAAACCGAAACUUCUUGCUUUCAUCAGCGCUUGCCGCUAACGUGCGCCGGAGGCAUUUUAGCCUCGCUGCUUUGCCUUAUGACCAUGGCCGAGUUGCUUGCUUAAUCUCAUGUGAAGCUACCGCUCUUUGUUCUUUCAACUUCGUUGACAAUCGUGUUUGUUUCUUCGACCGUCAGUUCAUGAAAGAUGAGAUGAGAUUCAACAUUCACCAGCCCUUCCUCAGAACUUCUCGCCCCGAUCGCUGAGCUUUUGCUGCUGCACUUCAGGUUCUUCGGAACGUUCAAAAUGGAAACCGAAGCUUCUUCUGUUCAUCAGCGCUCGUUGCAUUUCAGGUAGCAAUCGCUGGUAAAGUGUAGUAAGUUUUAUUUAUUAAACAAACAUGUCUACUUAAUCAAAUUAAAAUAUGAAGUAUUUUCAACUAAGUUAUUAAGUUCUAUAUAUAUAUAGUAUUGUAUUGUAUGGUUAUUUUAUCAUUUAAUUUUGAUAUAUAUAUAUAUAUAUAUAUAUAUAUAGUAUUGUUAUUUUGUCGUUUAAUGACGUAUAAAGAUGGGUAGGUCUUGAUUGA